ensembl:lncRNA
UUUACAGCGAACACUUUUAUUGUAUAGGCAAGAUAUGUAUAUGUGUACGUACAUUGCUGACCUACACCCUCAGUAUCAGAAUCAGAAUCCCUAAGGAAAUUAUGUGGGUUACAGUUGAUCCAAUACAGUAACAGUAACAGAAACAGACUAGACUAUUUAACAAUACAAUAAGUUACAGAUUUACAGAUUUAAGAAAUAGAACAAAUAUAUACAAAUCACUCAAUAAUAUAUAUCGAGGAUUGGCAGAGGUGAUUAUAAAUCAAUAUCGAGAAUAUUGACAGCAACAUUACUGAGUAGAAAACAGCGUGUGCAAAAAGGGUGUAGCUAUUGCAGUGUUUACAGUGUAUACUGUGCAUACAUGGAGGAGUUGUACAGGGAGUUGGCCACGGGCAGGAAUGAUUUCCUGUGUCGUUUAAUGGUGCUUUUUGGUAAUCUCAGUCUCUCACUGAACAUGCUCCUGUGGCUACCCAGCACGUCAUGGAGUGGGUGGGAGGUAUUAUCCAACAUUGGCUUUAUUUUGGACACCACCUUAAGGGACUGCAGCUCUAUCCCCACAACAUUACUGCCCUUGCAGAUCAGUUUAUUUAGUCUGUUGGCAUCUGUGACCCUCAACCUACUCCCCCAGCAUGCAACGGCAUAGAAAAUCCUGAGCAUUGUCUGACAGAUGUUGAAGGACCUCAGCCGCCUCAGGAAAUAGAGACGACUCUGGCCUUUCCUGUAAAGUGCAGUGGUGUUUUUAACCCAGUAUAGUUUAUUGUUUAUGUGUACUCCAAGGUAUUUAUAGUCCUCCGCAAUGUCCACAUCGACCCCCUGGAUUGAAACAGGAGUCCAAGGUUUCCUGGUCUUUGCCACAUUGAGCUGCAGAUGAUUCUGCUUGCACCACGUGACACAGGAGUCACCCACAGCCCGGUACUCUGACUCAUCACCCUUGCUGAUGCAUCCGACCACCGCAGAGUCAUCAGAAAACUUCUGAAGACGGCAGACCCAAGAGAAGUUACCCUUUUCCCUGCGGUGGGGGCAAGCAGACCACCACCGGCCCGACAGUAGCAGGGAGGCCCAGCGUCACAGACUCCGACCAG